GAUGAACGCUGGCGGCGUGCCUAAUACAUGCAAGUCGAGCGCAGCGGUGACGGGUGAGUAACUCGUGGAAACCCUCUUAUAUGACUGGGUUAACUUUGGGAAACCGGAGCUAAACCGGAUACUUAUAGAUGGAUCUGAGCUGCAUUAGCUAGUUGGUAAGGUAAUGGCUUACCAAGGCAACGAUUCAUAGCAGACCUGAGAGGGUGAACUGCAAUACAUGAAAUGAGACACGGUCCAGAUUCCGACGGGAGGCAGCAGUAGGGAAUGUGCCGCAAUGGGCGAAAGCCUGACGUAGCAACGCCGCGUGAGUGAUGAAGGUAGUCGGAUCGUAAAGCACGGUAAGUAGGGAAGCGGUACCUAGUCAGAAAGCCACGGCUAACUACGUGCCAGCAGCCGCGGUAAUUC
rnacentral:rRNA from 1 species